rnacentral:tRNA from 1 species
UUAAUGUAGCUUAUUUAAAGCAAAGCACUGAAAAUGCUUAGAUGGAUGCAAGCAUCCCAUAAACA